rnacentral:misc_RNA from 1 species
AAGUCGUAACAAGGUUUCCGUAGGUGAACCUGCGGAAGGAUCAUUAUCUAUAACCGGGUGUGGCUGCGGCCUCCGGGGGCGUGGGCGUCGACAUGAUGCCCUCCCUUCCGGGUGGUAGAGGUAAAACUCUCACGCGCCACAUGUCUGAAUCCUUUUUUUACGAGCACCUUUCGUUCUCCUUCGGUGGGGUGACCUGCCGUUGGAACCCAUCAAAACUCUUUUUUGCAUCUAGCAUUACCUGUUCUGAUACAAACAAUCGUUACAACUUUCAACAAUGGAUCUCUUGGCUCUG